GAGGGAGAUGGCCGGGCGGACGGCCACCUGUCUGUAAAACAGGCGCCUUUGCGCAUGGCGGGUUCGAGCCCUGCCUCCCUCACCA
rnacentral:tRNA from 1 species